rnacentral:rRNA from 1 species
UACGAAGGGGGCUAGCGUUGUUCGGAAUUACUGGGCGUAAAGCGCACGCAGGCGGUCCGUUAAAUUAGAAGUGAAAGCCCUGGGCUCAACCCGGGAAUUGCUUUUGAAACUGGCGGACUUGAAUUCGAGAGAGGGUAGUGGAAUUCCCAGUGUAGAGGUGAAAUUCGUAGAUAUUGGGAAGAACACCGGUGGCGAAGGCGGCUACCUGGCUCGAGAUUGACGCUCAUGUGCGAAAGCGUGGGGAGCAAACAGG